AUUGAACGCUGGCGGCAGGCCUAACACAUGCAAGUCGAACGAGUGGCGGACGGGUGAGUAAUGUCUGGGAAACUGCCCGAUGGAGGGGGAUAACUACUGGAAACGGUAGCUAAUACCGCAUACCAUCGGAUGUGCCCAGAUGGGAUUAGCUAGUAGGUGGGGUAACGGCUCACCUAGGCGACGAUCCCUAGCUGGUCUGAGAGGAUGACCAGCCACACUGGAACGGAGAAACGGGCCAGACUCCUACGGGAGGCAGCAGUGGGGAAUAUUGCACAAUGGGCGCAAGCCGGAUGCAGCCAUGCCGGGUGUAUGAAGAAGGCCUUCGGGUUGUAAAGUACUUUCAGCGGGGAGGCGUUACUCGCAGAAGAAGCACCGGCUAACUCCGUGCCAGCAGCCGCGGUAAUAC
rnacentral:rRNA from 1 species